CAGCACCUCAAGUUGUCAGGAUGAUUAUUGGGCCUAAAGCAUCCGUAGCCGGCUUUGUUAGUUUUCGGUUAAAUCCAUGUGCUCAACGCAUGGGCUGCCGAAAAUACUGCAGGGCUAGGGAGUGGGAGAGGUAGACGGUACUCAGUAGGAAGGGGUAAAAUCCUUUGAUCUAUUGAUGACCACCUGUGGCGAAGGCGGUCUACCAGAACACGUUCGACGGUGAGGGAUGAAAGCUGGGGGAGCAAACCGGAUUAGAUACCCGGGUAGUCCCAGCUGUAAACGAUGCAGACUCGAUGAUGCAUUGGCAUAUAGCCAGUGCAGUGUCGCAGGGAAGCCGUUAAGUCUGCCGCCUGGGAAGUACGUACGCAAGUAUGAAACUUAAAGGAAUUGGCGGGGGAGCACCACAAGGGGUGAAGCCUGCGGUUCAAUUGGAGUCAACGCCAGAAAUCUUACCCGGAGAGACAGCAGAAUGAAGGUCAAGCUGAAGACUUUACCAGACAAGCUGAGAGGUGGUGCAUGGCCGUCGCCAGCUCGUGCCGUGAGAUGUCCUGUUAAGUCAGGUAACGAGCGAGAUCCCUGCCGCUAGUUGCUAUCAUUAUUCUCAGGAAUAAUGGGGCGAAUUAGUGGGACUGCCGUUGUUAAAACGGAGGAAGGAAGGGGCUACGGCAGGUCAGUAUGCCCCGAAACUCUGGGGCCACACGCGGGCUGCAAUGGUAGUGACAAUGAGUUCCAAACUCGAAAGAGAGUGGCAAUCUCUAAACGCUACCACAGUUAUGACUGAGGGCUGUAACUCGCCCUCACGAAUAUGGAAUCCCUAGUAACCGCGUGUCAUUACCGCGCGGUGAAUACGUCCCUGCUCCUU
rnacentral:rRNA from 1 species